UCCUCCGCUUAUUGAUAUGCUCCUCUUCAGGGUCUAUCCCUACCUGAUCCGAGGGAUCCCUGGGUAAAAAACUGAUGUGCCCUGGACGGCCGGUCGGGCCUGCAUAACUGGUGACACCCUGCCGUACCCUCGAUGACCCGACUCGCAGCCCAUCCUGCCUUUCCCACCCGGCCCCCGGAAGGAGAAGCGAGCCCCGAUCACCCUUCCCGCUUGAUGCCCACCCUGACUGUCGAACGGGCCCGCCCCCCGGAUUUUCUCCUUACGCAAUGUGCGUUCAAAGACUCGAUGAUUCACUGAAUUCUGCAAUUCACAUUGCUCAGAUGAUUUCUAUGCGUUCCUCCCCCAAGCCCGAACCACAACAUCCGAUGCUGACUGUUUUAAUUUAUUGCUCUAAUUGCUCGCACUGCAAUCUUCUGAGACCGUUCAAUGGUGUCUUCUGUGGCCGAGGUUCUCACCGCCAAUGCCCCCCGGCGGCCUUGCGGCGGGCCCCCCGAAGCAACUAUGUUUAAUAGUUACGGUCAUGAGGUUGGACCCUCAGGGACCUCACUCGGUAAUGAUCCUUCCACAUGUUCACCUAC
rnacentral:rRNA from 1 species